ACUAGUAGGCACGGGCAAGAGUAAAAUUGGAUUUACAGUUUAUUGUGCUGCUGUGCAUCACGACCCAACACUACCUCGUGUAGCAUGAGUGAGGCAGCGCCCCGAUAAUUUGUUACACUGAGUUUUUAUAAACAUGAUUCAAACACAGAAUCUGAAGAAAGGAAAAUAUCAUAUACCAUUGGCUAGAUGGACAACGCCUGAUCAUCUCCUGAUCAGGAUAAUUUUACCCUUAUCGAGAUCUGCCUAGAGUUGUUUAUGAGCCAACUUGUCCCCAGCUCAUUUUGACCUUGUAAUAUUUUAUACAAACAAUCUCUGGUAAUAACAGUUUCUAGUCACGAACAACUACCAGUCAUGAGCAUAGAAGGUCAGAUCCCUACAAACAACUCCUCAGUAAAAUUUCCACCACAUGCACUUUUUCGGGAGACCUAGCUUCUAGUGGUGUCGUUCAUGAACGAUUCGUUCAUUUUGAAUCCUCUAAGACAAAGCAAAAUAGACGAGGCUGUGGUCAAAAUGAUUGCUUGAGACUUUCAACCAUUUUCUAUUGUGGAGGAUAAAGGCUUUAAGAUGUAUUCAAAUCUUUUGGACCCAUCAUACAGGCUACAAAGCAGAAAAAACACUGUCCAAAUCUGUAAUGCCUAUGCUGUAUGACAAAUUAAGAGCAGAUAUAAUAGAGAAAAUCAAGCGUGCCUCUCCUGUAUGUCUCACGACAGACUGCUGGACUUCUGUGAUUACCACAAGUUACCUGGCUGUGAUUUUUCAGAUGACCUCCUAUCUCCUGGACUGAUUUGGCUUGACAGACAGACACACUGCUGUGUAUAAACUGCUGUUAUACAAAGAUUUAUUGACAUCAAGGAGCUGAUCAUUUCCACCUUGGCACUCACUAACGCACUAACUAACUUUGUUGCCUGGGAAACAGUGGACAUUAUUAAGCCAUUUGAAGAGGUUACCAAUGAGGUCAAUGCAGAAAAUAAUUUUGAUGACAAGAGGACCUCAGAGAAUUGUUGCACGGAAUCAUAGAAAUCCCUCCAAAAUUGAACCAGUUAAAAAAGUAGUGGACACCCUGAUGGCAGGAAUGAUUUGAAGAUUUUGGCAGAGUAGAGCUUAAGAAGCUGGCUGAUGCUACUUGCUUGGACCCAAGUUUCAAAAAGCAAGCAUUUGUCAACCACCAGGUUGUAGAGGAAACAGUGAAGAUGAUUACAGCAGCUGCAGCAGCUGUUAACCCAACUCAGAGCAAAGAGGAGAAUGUUCCAGAUUAUGGUGUGACUGCCAGUACAGGGGCCAUGUUUUAGGAAGGAUAGCAAGAUUGAGGCCUUCUGCUUCUACUUCACAUACGUCCGAUGCUAUGAUGGAGAUGCAGGAAAAAUUUUCAAGGAAAAUCUAACAAUUUGGUAAAGCCAGUCAGGAGAAACAGAUAAGAAGAGAACUCACCAAAACCACUGGAACAAGAAGAAGUGGAAAAAUCUAGGAAAUUCUACAACCUCAACCGAAGAUCAACAAACUGAGUCCGUGUUUAGAAUUCUUUGAAUCAUUUGGACUUUGUCUCAAAGGUCCUCAUUUGGUGAGUGAAAAAGAAAGAAACGGACAAACAUUCAUAGUGUAGCACUGUUAAUUAAGCUUUUGGGAAUUGCUCAACAAUUUGGUCCGUUCAUUUAGAGACAGUAGAAGGUGUGGCUUGGUUCUUUCUCCUGGUGUCUGUAGGAAUUGUUAAAGAAACAAUUUGGUCUGUCCAUCUUGAGACUGUGGAACCUGUUGAAAUAGUUUCGUAUUGAAAUUGCUACAAGAAUUUAGGAUUCUUUACUGGGUGCUUAAACAGUAGCCAAGAAGUUGGUUAACAAGUAAAGGUUCUUAACAAGGUUAGAAAAACGGUGGCCUAGAGCCUAAGUUCCUUAAUUUACCAUGAAAUUUACCAGGAUUGUUCCAAAUUAUGAACUUUGCAAGUAAAAUUAAUUUUGUCUAUUUUCGUUGAACUAUGUGUUUGUAAAAUAAAUACUUUCCUCCUUAAGUCCUCCCGAGUCAAUUUGACCCGGCCACAUUUAGCGGGGCAGUAGGUCACUCUUUUGCCCUUUUCAGCGCAAUGAACAUACAUACAGACACAAAAAUGCACACAUAAAAUGUCCACUAACACACGCACCCAAAACACACACUCACACACCACACACACACACACACACACACACACACACACACACACACAAAUUGGGCAUUGCAUUUCAUUAGGCCUCCAGAAAAAAAAAAGGCCACAAAUUUGUAAAUAUUUCACACUUUUGAUAUGCCUUUGCCUAGCAGAGGGCAAAAUAUGAUCUACGGAAAUGAUGCUACACACACACACACACACACACACAGUCAAACACUGUUCAAAGCAUUGGGCAUUGCAUUUCAGUUGUCCUCCAGACAGUACAAAAGCUAUACAUUUGUAAACAUUUCACACACACGUGCACGCACGCAUACACACACAAAUUGGGCAUUGCAUUUCAUUAGGCCUCCAGAAAAAAAAAAAGCUACACAUUUGUAAAUAUUUCACACUUUUGAUAUUUCUUUGAUAUGAUCUACCAAAAUGAUGCUACACACAGACACACACACACAACGUUGUGUUUUCAUAUUCAAAUCAUAUUUGCUUUCAAAGAGACAAUGCCCCGAGAUAGAUUUAUUUAAAUUAUGCAACACCUUCUAACACACAAAUUUGCUGCGGUCUCCGACAUCUGAACACGCUUCAACAAGAACUGUGCUGAGAGUAUCACUCCAGGAGAACACAUGACCAUAGAUGAACAGCUGUUCCCUACCAAGAUCCGUUGUCCAUUCACACAGUAUAUUGCAACCAAGCCAGACAAAUUUGGGAUCAAGUUCUGGAUGGCCACGGAUUUGGAGACCAAAUAUGUCUGCAAUGCAUCUCCUUACUUGGGAAAGGACCCCAGUCGUCAGAAAGGAGAGAGGCUUGCAGAGAGCGUGGCCAUUUUUGGAUGAUGGCAGAAAUGUCACGUCGGUCAGUUUCUUUACUUUACUGUAACUGUCGCACAGACUUCUGCAGCGCAAAACAACGCUACUGGGCACGGUGAAUAAAGUCUGCCGUGAACUUCCUCAACUUGCAAAAGACACUGCACAGCGAGAGGUAUUCUCCACUUCAGUGCUUACAAGUGGCGGUGUCUCCUUGACAAUUUAUGCACCUAAAAAAAACAAGACUUAUUUGAUCGUGACGUGACGAUCGGUGACGGCAGAAAGAGGAAACCCAACACGAUAACAGACUAUAACCACAUGAAGUGUGGUGUAGACAUGUUGGACCAAAUGGCGCGGAUGUAUUCCGUAAGAGCAGCAACACGCAGGUGGCCAGUAGCGUUUUUUUACAAUAUGCUUGACCUGGCGGUGGUGAAUGCCUACAUUUUGUACAAGGCAUGUACAGGGUGGACAGGCAAAAGAAGAUUAUUUCUGAGUCUUCUAGCUAAGGAACUUUGUUGCCGAUUCAUGCAGCAGGAAAUAUUGGCACAAAGGCAGGCUGCUGAAGCUGCUGCAGCUGCUGUGCCAGGGACUGCACAGACAACGCAGUGCCAGGUGCAAGAGAGCUGCAACAGGAAUCGCAGCAGGUUUACCUGUGCAACAUGUCAGAAAUUCACCUGUGCCAAAUGCAGGGACGAUGGACACUGGGUCUUCAAAUGCUGUAAAGUUUGAAACACUUUAAAAUAAACCAGACUUGUGUUUCCAUAUAUUGUGAAUGUGUGUGUAUGUAUGUGUGUGUGCGCAUGUGUGUGUGU